UACAGAGGGGGCAAGCGUUAUUCGGAAUUAUUGGGCGUAAAGGGCGCGUAGGCGGCCUGGCAAGUGGAAGGUGAAAUCCCUCGGCUUAACCGAGGAACUGCCCUCCAAACUGCUUGGCUUGAGUCCGGGAGAGGUGAGUGGAAUUCCCAGUGUAGCGGUGAAAUGCGUAGAUAUUGGGAGGAACACCAGUGGCGAAGGCGGCUCACUGGACCGGAACUGACGCUGAGGCGCGAAAGCGUGGGGAACAAACGGG
rnacentral:rRNA from 1 species